GCCACGAUGGUCCGUGUAGUUAAUUAAAAGGGUCAGCUGUGUUCAUUUUAACCGUUCCUGUUAUUACCUGAGCUGAGGAAGAGGUGUUAGCAGUGGGGCUGAGAGCAGCGCAGAAACUAUCUGCUGCCACCAACGCUGAGAGACGAUGAUGAGGUCUAAUUACCACUGACCAGACGAAGCAUCCAGAUACGGCAUCUGUAGACCGCAACAUCUCAGGAGCUGUCGUAAAACAUGUCUCAGAAGAUUAUGCGACAUGAAGAACACUGGGCACAUGGCCAAGAGGAUGCGUGAAGUGAGGAUGCCAAGCAGAGAAACUGCCGCUACUGGAAGAAAAGAAGAAAACUUCAGAAUGAACCUUCAGGUGUAUGUAGGUGUUGGGGGAUGUGCAUGCUGUUUGGUGCAUGAGACAGUUGGCUGUAAACGGUUGGCAAAUCAAACCUGGUCUGGCUUGAGAGGAUGCCCUGAGAGUAAACAUCCGAUUCGCUGUGUAUGCUUGCUGGUUCACAUUUUACAUACUCCUACUUGGAGUAAUGGAAGGAAGCAAGUAUUUAUUGGUAUCACCUACGACAGUCAAUCUGUGGGAUGUAUUCACAGCUGAAGAGGUGAUCUGCAAGUUAAAUGAAUUUCUCUUUAACUCAGACCGACAUUAAUUCAUCUGUAAUCUAGCAAAGGCAACUAUAAUGGAGUCCUCGUAACUAAGUACAUUUAUUCUAGUACUCUACCUCACUACAAAAUGUAGGUACUUGUAGUUUACCUGAGUCUUGUCUUUUCAUGCCACUUAAUACUUUCCCUUGACUACAUUUCAAAGGUCAAUAUUGCACUUUUUACUCCACCAAAUGUAUUUAUACAGCUUUAGUUACUUUACAAAUUAAGAUUUUUGGAUACAAAUCAUAUGAAGUGCUAAUAAAUUAUGAUACUCUGUUAUAAAGUAAAGUACCCAACAGUAAAUACAAGUGUCGCUUACACAUUAACACGUGAGCAAUAAUAAUCUAAUGAUAUAAUAUAUAAUAGUAAAACAGUCUCAGGGGCAAUUUCUCUGCAUAGAGUACUUUCACUGUGGAUACUUAAAGUACAUUUUCCUGACUGUACUUACAUACUUAACUUAAGUCAUAUUUUCAGUGCAGGAAUUUUAAUUGUAACAGUGCAUAGUAAUUUUAAGGACCUAAAUACUUCCUCCACCACUGCAGGUAAGUAUGAAAGCUAGCUAUUUUAUAUUAUUUAUAUUUUAUACUAUGAACACUUGGCAUUUAUUGUGUGUCUGCGUUU